rfam:Streptomyces sp. NRRL S-495 contig6.8, whole genome shotgun sequence.
GGUCAUGAGCGACAGCGACAAGCCCCAGCUUGCUGUCCGGCAACCCUCCGUCCGUGGCGGGGUGCCCUGGGUGAGGACCGGGCCGUGCGGCGAGCCGUCCGCGUGGCAAGCGCGGACA